rnacentral:rRNA from 1 species
GAUGAACGCUGGCGGCGUGCCUAAUACAUGCAAGUCGAGCGAACGGACGAGAAGCUUGCUUCUCUGAUGUUAGCGGCGGACGGGUGAGUAACACGUGGAUAACCUACCUAUAAGACUGGGAUAACUUCGGGAAACCGGAGCUAAUACCGGAUGAUAUUUUGAACCGCAUGGUUCAAAAGUGAAAGACGGUCUUGCUGUCACUUAUAGAUGGAUCCGCGCUGCAUUAGCUAGUUGGUAAGGUAACGGCUUACCAAGGCAACGAUGCAUAGCCGACCUGAGAGGGUGAUCGGCCACCCUGGAACUGAGACACGGUCCAGACUCCUACGGGAGGCAGCAGUAGGGAACCUUCCGCAAUGGGCGAAAGCCUGACGGAGCAACGCCGCGUGAGUGAUGAAGGUCUUCGGAUCGUAAAACUCUGUUAUUAGGGAAGAACAUAUGUGUAAGUAACUGUGCACAUCUUGACGGUACCUAACCAGAAAGCCACGGCUAACUACGUG